GACGAACGCUGGCGGCGUGCCUAAUACAUGCAAGUUGAGCGCUGAAGGUUGGUUCUUGUACCAACUGGGUGAGCAGCGAACGGGUGAGUAACGCGUGGGGAAUCUGCCUUUGAGCGGGGGACAACAUUUGGAAACGAAUGCUAAUACCGCAUAAAAACUUUAAACACAAGUUUUAAGUUUGAAAGAUGCAAUUGCAUCACUCAAAGAUGAUCCCGCGUUGUAUUAGCUAGUUGGUGAGGUAAAGGCCCACCAAGGCGAUGAUACAUAGCCGACCUGAGAGGGUGAUCGGCCACAUUGGGACUGAGACACGGCCCAAACUCCUACGGGAGGCAGCAGUAGGGAAUCUUCGGAAAUGGACGAAAGUCUGACCGAGCAACGCCGCGUGAGUGAAGAAGGUUUUCGGAUCGUAAAACUCUGUUGGUAGAGAAGAACGUUGGUGAGAGUGGAAAGCUCAUCAAGUGACGGUAACUACCCAGAAAGGGACGGCUAACUACGUG
rnacentral:rRNA from 1 species